rnacentral:tRNA from 2 species
GCAACAAUAGCUUAAAUAAAAGCAUUGGUCUUGUAAGCCAAAGAUGAAUUUAGACAUUCUUGUUGCU